rnacentral:rRNA from 1 species
GACGUAGGAUGCAAGCGUUGUCCGGAAUCAUUGGGCGUAAAGCGUUCGUAGGCGGCAUAUCAAGUCUGAUGUUAAAGCCCGGAGCUCAACUCCGGUUCGGCAUUGGAUACUGGUAAGCUAGAGUGCAAUAGAGGUAAGGGGAAUUCCUAGUGUAGCGGUGAAAUGCGUAGAUAUUAGGAGGAACACCGGUGGCGAAAGCGCCUUACUGGGUUGUAACUGACGCUGAGGAACGAAAGCCAGGGUAGCAAAUGGG